rnacentral:rRNA from 1 species
CAAUAGCGUAUAUUAAAGUUGUUGCGGUUAAAACGCUCGUAGUUGGAUUUCUGUUGAGGGCAGCCGGUCCGCACUUCGUGCGUGUAUCUGGUUUGACCUCGGCAUCCUCUCAAAAUACGUUUCUGCGCUUGAUUGCGUGGAGCGGAGUUUGAGACUUUUACUUUGAGGAAAUUAGAGUGUUCACGGCAGGCAAUCGCCUUGAAUAUAUUAGCAUGGAAUAAUAAUAUAGGAUCUUGGUUCUAUUUUGUUGGUUUCUAGAGCUAAGAUAAUGAUUAAUAAGGACAAUUGGGGGCAUUCGUAUUAACGCGUCAGAGGUGGAAUUCUUGGAUUGCGUUACGACGAACUACUGCGAAAGCAUUUGCCAAGGAUGUUUUCAUUGA